rnacentral:piRNA from 1 species
UUCUCUUCAGUAAACUCAAUCACACAGGA